AAGAUAGGGACUGAAGAGUCUCUCAACUUCCCUGGCGGUCCCUCUAAUAUGUCUGAAGGCCACUGAUAGGAGCCGUCACACUGUCCUUAUCGACGGGAAGGACGUGAAGAAAAGUGUUUGCAAGAACAGGACUUAGUGGUUCCUCAGCUUCAGCCCUAUCAGGGAGACAGUUUACAAGGCUCACAGCUCUGAAAUGUGACAUAGAAGCCCAACUAGGAACGUCAGAGGUGUUUGGAACACCAAAUGGCAUGUGAUAAGUGAUACACAUGUGUGUACUAUUAUAACCGUCAUUUUUAUUGCCCAUUCAUGCUUUGGAUAUUAAAACUACAGGCCACUGGCCAGUAGCAACUCAUAUGAUCCUGAGCUGCUGACAUCUCAGUGUUGGCCACAGUGGCUCAGAAGGACCUCCCAAUGCCCCAGUUUGUGCAACAGACCUGGUACCUCUGACUGAACUUGCAGCCUAGGCAGGUGGCAUUAUUUGUUUAUUUGUUUGUUUCAUUCUGUAACCCUGGCUGGCCUGGAACUCCCUAAGCAGAUUAGGCUGGUUUCAAACUCUUUAAAAAACACAUUUAAUUUCUUGCCAACUGGUAAAUGGAAACUUGGAGUUGAAUCUAAUUUGAUUUAGAUAAAUAAUAUACCAAAUUCUUUCUUUCAUUUUUAGAUAGUGUCUCUUGCAAGCCAACUGGCCUUCAACUUGAUAUGCAUGUAGACGCGCUCCAUCUGGAGGCAGCUAUGAAAAUCAGACAGCCCAAUGUGAACGAUCCUGUUGAAUGACAGAUCCAGACUCUGCAGCGACUCCAGCUUCCACAGUCCUGGGAAAAGGAAAGGCAAAUGAAAACCCAAAUCUGGUGCUAUUGGCGGCUGCGUAGUGGGUGGUGGAAAGUUGGGGAUGUUGACGGCCCUCAGGUAUGGACGGCCAGACUGAUUCUGAAAAGAGGGUAGCGUAACUGAAAUGGCUCGACCAGGUCGAUUGUCAUCUGUUCACCUGAGGCACACAGAGUAAUAAGCAAGCGGACUUUAAAGCAAUGAAUCAGUCUGAAGAUUAUGAUGGAGGCACUUGGUGCAGAUGACAAAUCCUUACCCCAGAAGUUUGGAGUGGUGGCACGAUAAGACACGUAGACAAGGAAAGUUACUUGUCAGGCAAAGCGGUUCAUCAUCCACACCACGCCACUGGGCAGUGGGCUGUUUGUCUGUCUUCCUGACUAUCCAAUGAUUAAAUCUUUUCUAUGCAGAAUAAGGUGAACCCUUGUAAUGCUUGGGAUGUAGGGUUUGGCCUGUGUACACAGAGAUCCAAAAAGCAUUGGGCCAACGUUAAGGAUUCAAUACAAAAGCCUGCAUCUCAGGCUUCCCUGGAAUGAAUAGAUUCAAAGUUCCGGCUGGCGUAUGACAUUUGGCUAGAGUGAAUGGGGGCUGCCUGCUUUAGAUGGGGCAUGAGCUUGUAGAGAGCUAUUAUU